rnacentral:rRNA from 1 species
UACGGGGGGGGUAAGCGUUGUUCGGAUUUACUGGGCGUAAAGGGCGCGUAGGCGGCGUGUUAAGUCAGCUGUGAAAUCUCCAAGCUUAACUUGGAACGGUCAGCUGAUACUGAUGUGCUAGAGUGCAGAAGGGGCAACCGGAAUUCUUGGUGUAGCGGUGAAAUGCGUAGAUAUCAAGAGGGACACCUGAGGUGAAGACGGGUUGCUGGGCUGACACUGACGCUGAGGCGCGAAAGCCAGGGGAGCGAACGGG